rnacentral:rRNA from 1 species
CGUCUAUAUACGUAUAGCAUAUCAAUAAGCGGAGGAAAAGAAACUUAACUAGGAUUCCCUCAGUAACGGCGAGUGAAGCGGGAAGAGCUCAAAUUUGAAAUCUUCAAGGUUCUACCUUGACGAAUUGUAGUUUAAAGAAGUGUUUUCUGUUGGAGUUUUGGUAAAAGUUCUUUGGAAUAGGACAUCAUAGAGGGUGAGAAUCCCAUAUUUGACCAUUAUUUCCAACUUUGUGAUACACUUUCAAAGAGUCGGAUUGUUUGGGAAUGCAGUCCAAAAUGGGUGGUAAAUUUCAUCUAAAGCUAAAUACUGGCGAGAGACCGAUAGCGAACAAGUACCGUGAGGGAAAGAUGAAAAGAACUUUGAAAAGAGAGUUAAACAGUACGUGAAAUUGUCAAAAGGGAAGCGUUUGACACCAGUGUUGUUUUCUCGAAAAUCAAUUAAAAAUGGUGGGAUUUUGUGUUGUAUUGACUUUAUCAGCUUUCUGCACUUUUUUCCUGUCUUUUUUAAUGCACUUUUCGUUUAACAAGUCAACAUCAAUUUCUUUUGUUGUAAAAGGGUCAUUGGAAGGUGGCUUUCUUUUCGGAGAAAGUGUUUAUAGCCUUUGGCCUCUGCAAUCGGAGAGAUUGAGGUCUGCAGCGUAGAUCCUUCGGGGUUAGAUACAUUUGUGCUAAGUUAUAGCCUUUCAUAGACAACUUGUUGACUAUGAUCAGUCAUGUAGCUUACUCGCUUAUGCUAUUUUACCUACGCUUAGGAUGUUGACGAUCAGCUGAGCGCG